rnacentral:tRNA from 1 species
GAGGGUAUAGCUUUGUGGCAGAGCAUGUGCUUAGCAUGCAUGAGGUCCUGGGUUCAAUCCUCUGUGCUUCCA